UAGUGAUUUAUUGUUUAACAUGAGUGGAUUUUUAAUUACAGUAUUAAAAUACGGAUAGUGUGCAUUAUUCUAGAUGCUCAUUGUUUCGUUACUGCCAAUUACGACUUGGAGUUGCAACAAGAGGGAAAAUUAAAAUUCGCGAAGUGAAGAACUUUUUAAAGUACAUUAUGCAUUGACCAGCUGAGCGUCUGAGUAAAUCUGCCGGAGACAAUGGCUUUGAUAAUAGAAUCUUAAAUAUAAUUUAAUUAUAACCGUCUACCUUUCUUUGAUAGUUUUUAUCGUUUUCCAAUUCAUAAUUAUUGAGGUCCAUAUUUUAUUGAAAAAAAUAAUAGUGUAUAUUUUAUCUGUAACUUAGUAAAUAGAUAAAUAACUAAACCUGAAUGUUAACGUAUUAUUUGAGUUAAUAUAUAAAUAAAUUACUCACGUAAAACAGAUGAGAAAAUAUACCUAAGUUAAAGUGAAA